rnacentral:tRNA from 1 species
UCAUCGAUAGCUCAGUUGGUAGAGCGGAGGACUGUAAAUCCUUACGUCGCUGGUUCGAAUCCGGCUCGAAGGA